rnacentral:rRNA from 1 species
CCUACGGGAGGCAGCAGUGAGGAAUAUUGGUCAAUGGCCGCAGGGCUGAACCAGCCAAGUCGCGUGAGGGAUGACGGUCCUAUGGAUUGUAAACCUCUUUUGUCAGGGAGCAAAGGGCGCCACGUGUGGCGCUUUGCGAGUACCUGAAGAAAAAGCAUCGGCUAACUCCGUGCCAGCAGCCGCGGUAAUACGGAGGAUGCGAGCGUUAUCCGGUUUUAUUGGGUUUAAAGGGUGUGCAGGCGGAAUGUCAAGUCAGCGGUAAAAUUUCGGGGCUCAACCCCGUCGUGCCGUUGAAACUGGCGUUCUUGAGUGAGCGAGAAGUAUGCGGAAUGCGUGGUGUAGCGGUGAAAUGCAUAGAUAUCACGCAGAACUCCGAUUGCGAAGGCAGCAUACCGGCGCGCAACUGACGCUCAUGCACGAAAGCGUGGGUAUCGAACAGGAUUAGAUACCCGAGUAGUC